rnacentral:rRNA from 1 species
UACGGAGGGUGCAAGCGUUGUCCGGAUUUAUUGGGUUUAAAGGGUGCGUAGGCGGCCCGUUAAGUCAGUGGUGAAAGCCUCCAGCUCAACUGGAGAACUGCCAUUGAUACUGACGGGCUUGAGUACAGACGAGGUUGGCGGAAUUGAUUGUGUAGCGGUGAAAUGCAUAGUAUACAAUCAAGAACACCGAUUGCGUAGGCAGCUAACUAGGCUGUAACUGACGCUGAGGCACGAAAGCGUGGGGAGCGAACAGG